rnacentral:lncRNA from 1 species
UUUUUUUUUUUUGGUCUUUUUGCCAUUUCUUGGGGCGCUCCCGCGGCAUAUGGAGUUCCCAGGGUAGGGGUCUAAUCAGAGCCAUGGCCGCUGGUCUACACCAGAGCCACAGCAACGCAGGAUCCGAGCCGUGUCUGCGACCUAUACCACAGCUCACGGCAACGCCAGGUCCUUAACCCACUGAGCAAGGGCAGGGACCGAACCCGCAACUUCAUGGUUCCUAGUCGGAGUCAUUAACCACUGAGCCACGAUGGGAACUCGUGAAAAUUUUUAUAAGUCAAGUCAAUACAACUGAUUUGCUGUGACUUAGGAGUCCUUUUCAAAGGUCUUCAGGGUCUAGGCCUUUCAUCUUUGGGAAUUUGUUUCUCAUGAAGGUGUUGAAGGGAAGGCGGUUGGAAAUAGUGGAAACUGGAGUCAGCUGCCGGCCCUGCCCAAAGGCCAUUCUCAUUUCAACUUUAACAAAACCAAAGCUGGGAGGGCCACACAACACUUACCUGGUUUGAAUUGGGCUCAUAGGUGCAAUUUGACAUCUCCUCUGGAGCCAUGGUCCUUUGUUGGGAUAGUCUUUGCCUUUGCCAUCUCUCAGGUUUUAGUUACCUUCCCCUGCCCCCUGCCUUGUUUAGGCCCCAGGCUAUAGUGCUCCUGGCUCAUGUCCCGGGCCCUACUCUGGCUCCUGCCAGGAAGGACCAUCGAUCGCAUCAGUUGACUUUAGUAAACCAUUUGAAUAGGAAGGAAGAUUUGGGGUCAGGGUAGCCUCAAGUUAGAGCGUGAGCAGCGUGGGUUUGUGGGGUCUCAAGAAUGCCAUGAGUGUUCUGGUGGUCCUGGAGUCAGGCUUGGGUAGAUUCCAGCUCUGCUGCUUACCAGUUGUAUGUCUGCAGGAGGCAAAGUGCUUUGCCUGUCGAAGCCUCGCCUUCUACCUCUGAGAGUGGUAGAAGGAUAAAGGGUUUUCAUGAGAUUGGGAACAUGCCCAGCUCAGAGCCCAGCACAUGGUCAGCCCUGUAGCUUUUGGGACUUAGAGACCUUGUGGACAUGCCAUGGUGGAUACUCCUACAAGUCAUGGCAAAAUGUUGUGUUGAUGUGCACUUUAUUUUUCCUGGGGAGAGGAUCCAUUACCUUUCGUGAGAUUCUCAACACAGACCACGACAGCGUAGGGACGCUGGUGUUCAGGGCUGCUGAGGAAGUUGUCCCAGCACCCAGAUGUUCACGAAUUGACACGCAGGCCCUCCUAGACCUGGAAGGGCAAAGUCGAGUUUGGUUCGUUCUUUCCGUCCCCGUCAGAACUUGACUGAUCAUAGAUUUAUGCAGUUGACCCACUUUCUCCAAGGGCAGAGCCAGUUUUCCAGGCGGUGCCGAUGUCAGAAUUGGAAAAGCAGAUUCUCAGUCAGCCAACGUGACCUCUGCAAGAAUGGCCGUGUUGCUGGCUUUCCAUUUGAAGGCAGGGAUAGGGGCAGGGGUAUGUGAUGAAUAACCCCAGAGGGACUGUGACGGUCACUGCUGAUGUUAUGACCAGAUGCAGGAGCGUCUAGAAGAGGAAGGCUGUGCCUCAUGAAGGGGCCAUACAGGAGAGCGUUUCUGGUGUUUGGUGCUGCGACCCCUCCCUCCACCUCCCUUGUGCACCCGGAGGGGGAUUUCUACAGCAGCGUGGAAGCCCGGCUCCUAGGGCAGUGGCCUUGGGCACAUGGCUGAGGGUUGUCUUUCACAGUCAACCCCUGUGCCCCUGUGAGUCCCUAACCACCCCUUCCCAUGUCACCCUUCCCUGGGCUGAAAACAUGACUCAGAAGAUUAAUGAGGCAAUGGGAAAAUACCGCAUCCAGUGCUCUGUCCCUCUGUUCCUUUCCCACAGACCUGAUCCAGAGCCAUCACAGAACUUGGAAAGGGCACUUGGCUUCUAGGGAACCAGCUAUUGGAAAUCUUUCACGACUCUUGCACUUAGAACACCCCCCAGUUGUGUCCUCAGUUCUGGCUCGUGUGCUUUGUUUAUGCAACAGGUGUUUUUAGAUGAGGGACUAGAAAUUGGUGGAGAAAAAGUCAGAUGGGUUCAAGGAUGGAUAGUGGGACAGACAGAUGAAUAGAUGUGUGAUAAAUACGAAUAGUCAAAUGUAAGGGACAAACUCUGGUCCACAUGGUGGCUAUCCAGGUGUUCAUUGUAAAAUGCUUUCAAUAUCGCUGUGUGUUUGAAGAUUUUAAUAAUCGAAUGUGGUUGGAAAUGAGAUGAAGUGUUCGGGUGUAAAAACUCUGGGGAUUUUGUGAAUUGGGGAUUCCACAUCUCCUCCCACCCUCCACCAUGGUUUCCCCAUUGUUUUCAAGUUCUGUCUUCAUGGCCUAGUCACUGUUAGGGACACUCGGGGGCAUGUUCUAAGUGAUGUGGAUACAAUAGUGGCAAGAGUGUCCUCUGACUGUGGGACACAUGCGCUUUCAUUAUUUCGAGGGCAGAUCGGACAAGCCCUUGUGAAAAAAGUUCUAUGUGGAGUUCCCACUGUGGCUCAGUGGUUUCAUGAAGUAUCUGGUAUCAUGAGGACUUGGGUUCCAUCCCUGGCCCUGCUCAUUGGGUUAAGGAUCCAUUGUUGCUAUGGUGUCAGCUGGCCCGGACUGUCGACCCCUAGCCUAGGAACUUCAAUAUGCCACGGGUGCAGCCC